UACGUAGGGGGCCAGCGUUGUCCGAAGUUAUUGGGCGUAAAGAGCUCGUAGGCGGUCUGUCGCGUCUGCUGUGAAAACUCAGGGCUUAACCCUGAGCUUGCAGUGGGUACGGGCAGACUAGAGUGCGGUAGGGGAGACUGGAAUUCCUGGUGUAGCGGUGGAAUGCGCAGAUAUCAGGAGGAACACCGGUGGCGAAGGCGGGUCUCUGGGCAGUAACUGACGCUGAGGAGCGAAAGCGUGGGGAGCGAACAGG
rnacentral:rRNA from 1 species